rnacentral:tRNA from 1 species
ACCUGGCUAGCUCAAUUGGUAGAUCAUGAGACUUUUAAUCUCAGGGUCAUGGGUUCAAGCACCCUGCUGGGCA